UUACAAAACUAUAAAGAUGUAGGCCUCAAAUGAACAGUGCAAUAAUAUUACAUUUCUAAUUAUUUUAACACAAAACGCACACAAAACGACGUCGUUUAAUCGGAAAAAAAUCCAAAUUAAGCGUAGACGCCUUUUCUUUUCCAAUUUCUUUUGCUGCUCAAAUUUAUGGUCCGCCCAUAUCCGUGGGCCCUUCUCUUAAUAUUUCCAGUAUUUUCCAUUUUUCUUUAACAAACUCACGCGAGUUGUGUUCAUUUACACGCGCUUGCUUUCGGCGGUUGUCAGUCUGCUUCUGCGUUCUCUCGCUUGUCAAUCCCACCUUGACGUUUGUAGCUUCCGGUGUAGCCUGUGGGACGUGGGUUUACACAAUCUUUAUCGUCUCAUUUCUCUUUCCAAUUUUACAUUCUCCGGAGGCCAUUUCAGUACCCAACUAAAGGAAAACCCUAAAAAUUGCACUCUCAAAGCAAACCGCCCGCAAAUCAUCAGUCAUUCGAUGUAUUUUUUGCACAUCCGAUGGAGGUUUUCAAUCCCCAUCUCUGUUUCGUGAGUACAACAACAACAAAAUAGGGGUUUUCUAACCUUUUUACGCCGAUGCCGAAAACUGCCGAGGUUGGAGUCGACCGGAGCUCGUGAAUGGGAAUUAGGAUUCUCAGCCAUUAGGUUCUUCGUUUCCUCCAUUUUCUUUGUUCAAUCCAUUUAGGUUUGCUCUCGAUUACAUUUGGUAUGUUAUCUUUCUCAUUUAUCCCCAAAUAAAGUUUACGCUAUGAUUAUGUUAGACUCAUUCCCUUUUUCUUUAUGUGCUUGGGUGAUGUUCUUGAAAAUGCUAACAGAAGACAACUGCCUUAUUCCCUGCAGAAUGGGUCUGGGUAUAAUUUUUUCUCUCUUUCUUGAUUAAUCAUGUUAAGCUACACUUUGGUGCGAAAUUUGUGCAGAUCUUCCUAAUUUUUGCUACUAACUUUUUUCUUUCACUUGUUUAUGUGGGAUCCAUUUAAGUAAGCCCACUUAUCUAUUUAUCUUAUUAUCUUAAGCGAUUGCAGACUUUUCGGCGGGGAGGAAGACGUUGUCUCGUCCAUUUACUGAGUCAGUGACAUAAGUGGUAUACUGAUGUGGUUUGGUGCUCGGUUGAUUAGUUCUUCAUUCCGCCUCCGACAAUCCUCUCCGUCUGCCUCCUGUCCAAACCAGGCAACACACACUUGUUUAUUGAAAGGCUGAUAUCCUUGGAAAUGCUAAUAGAAACCACUCAAGCUUACUCGGGCAAGAUGAUAUCCUAUGGAUUUAUGUGCAUUUGUUUUUUGCCACGGGGUAUCUCUGACGAAUUUUGGCGGGGUAGGUGAUGGAACGACGUCGAAUACCAGAGCUUUUCAGAUGGUUGUCGAUCAUCUCAGCCAGUUCGAAUCGGACGGUGGAUCGAUGCUCUUUGUUCCUUCUGGGAAGUGGGGUUGACUGGAAGCUUUAAUUUGACCAGCCAUUUUACAUUCUUUCUCCAUAAAGAUGUUGUUCUUCUCGCUUCUCAGGGGAUGAUGGCACCAUUAAUGGGCAUGGUGAAUCCUGGUUGAAGAAAUUCCAAAAGGGAGAUUCACAGUUAACUAGACUUCAUUUAAUUGAAAUAAUGUACUCUGUAAAUGUCCAAAUAUCAAUUUUUUUUUUUUUGAGAUGAAACCAAAUAUCAAAUUUAACACUUGUUAAUUCACCAUCAUGGAAUGUUCAUCCUGUACUA